CAUGCCCAUCUUCCAUCUCCAAACCCUAGCCGGCCUUAGGUUAUUUUUCUUCUAUAAUCUAUCCAUCUAAACCUUAGUUCCUUUCCCUCUAAAUUCUAGAAGCCCACAUGCAAAAGCCCAAAGAAACCCUAUGCCCAAGCCUCCUAACUUCAGCCUUCUUGCAGCCUUCACAAAAAUUCCAGCAACCUGUCCCUUCCUUUUCUCUCUUCUAAAAUCUACUUCCCUUAGCCUAUUCUCCACCAAAUCUUUUUCUCUUACUGCUAAAGA
rnacentral:lncRNA from 1 species